CAAACUUGGAACAGAUAUAAGUCCCUAUCAUUGCAACUCGUCCCGUUGAGGUGACACUAGUCUCUGUAACUUUAAAGUUUUAUUUCUUCAAUAUAACAUUCGUAUUUUCCUUCUCUCCAGGUCUACUGGGUGGGACCCAUUGCAGGCGGAGUCAUUGCUGCCAUUCUGUACAAAUUUGUGUUGAACCCAUACAGAGGCGUCACCAACUUGGAUGAAGCCAUCAACAAACUAAAGACUGAACUGCCCAUACAAACAGAUGAUAUUAAUUUGAAGACUGUCGAAUAGAUCAAGACGAAACAACAGUUGUGGUGAUACCCCGUGACUACUUCAAGGGAGGCGAGAAAUUAAAACCGGAGACAACGCACAUAAGUUAAGCGUGCAGACAGCCAAUUAGUACCCCUGGAUGGUGACGGCUCUCAGAGAUGACCAAGAUUU
rnacentral:sRNA from 1 species